GAUGAACGCUAGCGAUAGGCUUAACACAUGCAAGUCGAGGGGCAGCACAAGGUAGCUUGCUAUCUGGGUGGCGACCGGCGCACGGGUGCGUAACGCGUAUGCAACUUGCCCUAUACAGGAGGAUAACCCGUCGAAAGACGGACUAAUACUGCGUAUGCUCACAACUUGGCAUCAAGUGGUGAGGAAAGAAAUUCGGUAUAGGAUAGGCAUGCGUCCCAUUAGCUUGUUGGUGAGGUAACGGCUCACCAAGGCAACGAUGGGUAGGGGAACUGAGAGGUUUAUCCCCCACACUGGUACUGAGACACGGACCAGACUCAUACGGGAGGCAGCAGUGAGGAAUAUUGGUCAAUGGGCGCGAGCCUGAACCAGCCAAGUCGCGUGAAGGAUGACUGUCUUAUGGAUUGUAAACUUCUUUUAUACGGGAAUAACAAGAGUCACGUGUGACUCCCUGCAUGUACCGUAUGAAUAAGCAUCGGCUAACUCCGUG
rnacentral:rRNA from 1 species